rnacentral:tRNA from 1 species
AUUACAUCAAGUCAGGAUGGCCGAGUGGUCUAAGGCGCCAGACUCAAGUUCUGGUCCUCUAACGAGGGCGUGGGUUCAAAUCCCACUUCUGACAUAAUUUUCACUCCGUUUAUAUUUUUCAGCUCUUGUAUAUCUUUUCUUCUACUAGGGUUGUUCUGCACUUAUUUCUA